AUGAUGUAGCGCGUGAGGCCGGAUUUGUGAAGAGGUUUUUAAAACUGA
rnacentral:snoRNA from 1 species